AAGUCGUAACAAGGUUUCCGUAGGUGAACCUGCGGAAGGAUCAUUACCGAAAAGUAAAAAAAAACCAAGCUCGUGAUGGUGCAAGUUUAGGUGCGUGUAGUAUGGAUUCGCGCUCUUGCCCUCAUGUUGCAAAAAGACAAGUUUUUGGCUGAAAUGGAUCUUGCGUUUUGGGGCAGUCUCUCGGGGCUGUUCCGGGCGUGAGAGCUGAUGGUCAAAAACUUUUCAUAAGUCUUCUGUUGUUCAUGCCCUCGCGGGGGCAUGGCUCAGGAGCAGAGCCUAAAAAUUUUGAAAACAAGAUAACAAAAAUUUUGAAAACAAGAUAACAAAAAUUUUGAAAACAAGAUAAAAAGAUAAAAAGACGUAAAAAUUAACCUCGUGUGGUGGAUCACUUGGCUCGUGG
rnacentral:misc_RNA from 1 species